UACGGAGGGGGCUAGCGUUGUUCGGAAUUACUGGGCGUAAAGCGCACGUAGGCGGACUGAUCAGUCAGGGGUGAAAUCCCGGGGCUCAACCCCGGAACUGCCUUUGAUACUGUCAGUCUGGAGGUCGAGAGAGGUGAGUGGAAUUCCGAGUGUAGAGGUGAAAUUCGUAGAUAUUCGCAAGAACACCAGUGGCGAAGGCGGCUCACUGGCCCGGUACUGACGCUGAGGUGCGAAAGCGUGGGGAGCAAACAGG
rnacentral:rRNA from 1 species